AGGCGGGAGGCGGGCGGCGCCGGGAGCCGCGCGAGGAGUCGCUGCUGCCGCUGCCGCCGCCGCGCCAUGGAGCCCGAGUGAGCGCCGCGCGGGCCCGUCCGGCCGCCGGACAACAUGGAGGCGGCGCCGCCCCGGCCACCGCCGCCGUGGCCGCUGCUCCUGCUGGCGCUUGGCUGCAGCCUGGCCCCCGCCGCGGCCUCACCGCUCCUGCUGUUUGCCAACCGGCGAGACGUGCGGCUGGUGGACGCAGGUGGAGUCAAGCUUGAGUCCACCAUCGUGGUCAGUGGGCUGGAGGAUGCGGCCGCAGUGGACUUCCAGUUCUCCAAGGGAGCCGUGUACUGGACAGACGUGAGUGAAGAGGCCAUCAAGCAGACCUACCUGAACCAGACUGGGGCUGCGGUGCAGAACGUGGUCAUCUCCGGCCUGGUUUCGCCCGAUGGCCUGGCCUGUGACUGGGUCGGCAAGAAGCUGUACUGGACAGACUCAGAGACUAAUCGCAUUGAGGUGGCUAACCUCAACGGAACAUCCCGGAAGGUCCUCUUCUGGCAGGACCUUGACCAGCCAAGGGCCAUUGCCUUGGACCCCGCCCACGGGUACAUGUACUGGACAGACUGGGGGGAGACACCCCGGAUUGAGCGGGCUGGGAUGGACGGCAGCACCCGGAAAAUCAUCGUGGACUCGGACAUCUACUGGCCCAACGGACUGACCAUUGACUUGGACGAGCAGAAGCUCUACUGGGCAGAUGCCAAGCUCAGCUUCAUCCACCGAGCCAACCUGGACGGGUCUUUUCGGCAGAAGGUUGUGGAGGGCAGCCUGACGCACCCCUUUGCGCUGACACUCUCUGGGGACACUCUGUACUGGACGGACUGGCAGACCCGCUCCAUCCACGCCUGUAACAAGCGGACUGGGGAGAAGAGGAAGGAGAUCCUUGGUGCCCUCUACUCCCCCAUGGACAUCCAGGUGCUCAGCCCAGAGCGGCAGCCUUCCUUCCACACUCAGUGUGAGGAGGACAAUGGCGGCUGCUCCCACCUGUGUCUGCUGUCCCCGAGGGAGCCUUUCUACGCGUGUGCCUGCCCCACUGGUGUGCAGCUUCAGGACAAUGGCAAGACGUGCAAGGCAGGGGCCGAGGAGGUGCUGUUGCUGGCCCGGCGGACAGACCUACGGAGGAUCUCGCUGGACACACCGGACUUCACCGACAUCGUGUUGCAGGUCGACGACAUCCGGCACGCCAUUGCCAUUGACUAUGACCCACUGGAGGGCUACGUGUACUGGACAGAUGACGAGGUGCGGGCCAUCCGCAGGGCCUACCUGGACGGGUCGGGGGCACAGACGCUGGUUAACACCGAGAUCAAUGACCCUGAUGGCAUCGCAGUUGACUGGGUGGCCCGCAACCUCUACUGGACAGACACAGGCACUGACCGCAUCGAGGUGACACGCCUGAACGGCACCUCCCGCAAGAUCCUGGUGUCCGAAGACUUGGACGAGCCCCGGGCCAUUGUGCUGCACCCUGUGAUGGGCCUCAUGUACUGGACAGACUGGGGCGAGAACCCCAAAAUUGAGUGCGCCAACCUAGACGGGCAGGAGCGGCGUGUGCUGGUGAACGCCUCCCUCGGGUGGCCCAACGGCCUAGCCCUGGACCUGCAGGAGGGCAAGCUGUACUGGGGGGAUGCCAAGACAGACAAAAUCGAGGUGAUCAAUGUGGACGGGACGAAGAGACGGAUUCUCCUGGAGGACAAGCUCCCGCACAUUUUCGGCUUCACGCUGCUAGGGGACUUCAUCUACUGGACGGACUGGCAGCGUCGCAGCAUUGAGCGAGUGCACAAGGUGAAGGCCAGCCGCGACGUCAUCAUCGACCAGCUGCCCGACCUGAUGGGGCUCAAGGCGGUGAACGUGGCCAAGGUCAUCGGAACCAACCCGUGUGCAGACAGGAAUGGAGGGUGCAGCCACCUGUGCUUCUUCACACCCCAUGCAACCAGGUGCGGUUGCCCCAUCGGCCUGGAGCUGCUCAGUGACAUGAAGACCUGCAUUGUGCCUGAGGCCUUCCUUGUCUUCACCAGCAGAGCCGCCAUCCACAGAAUCUCCCUGGAGACCAACAACAACGACGUGGCCAUCCCGCUCACUGGCGUCAAGGAGGCCUCUGCGCUGGACUUUGACGUGUCCAACAACCACAUCUACUGGACAGACGUCAGCCUGAAGACCAUCAGCCGCGCCUUCAUGAACGGCAGCUCGGUGGAGCACGUGAUUGAGUUUGGCCUCGACUACCCGGAAGGCAUGGCUGUGGACUGGAUGGGCAAGAACCUCUAUUGGGCCGACACUGGGACUAACAGGAUUGAAGUGGCCCGGCUGGAUGGGCAGUUCCGGCAAGUUCUUGUGUGGAGGGACUUGGACAACCCGAGGUCGUUGGCCCUGGAUCCCACCAAAGGCUACAUUUACUGGACCGAGUGGGGCGGCAAGCCCAGGAUUGUGCGGGCCUUCAUGGACGGGACCAACUGCAUGACGCUGGUGGACAAGGUGGGCCGGGCCAAUGACCUCACGAUUGACUACACCGACCAGCGUCUGUACUGGACCGACCUGGACACCAAUAUGAUUGAGUCGUCCAACAUGCUGGGUCAGGAGCGGGUCGUGAUUGCCGAUGACCUCCCACACCCAUUUGGCCUGACGCAGUACAGCGAUUACAUCUACUGGACGGACUGGAAUCUGCACAGCAUCGAGCGGGCCGACAAGACCAGCGGCCGGAACCGUACCCUCAUCCAGGGGCAUCUGGACUUCGUCAUGGACAUCCUGGUGUUCCACUCCUCCCGCCAGGAUGGCCUCAAUGACUGCAUGCAUAACAACGGGCAGUGCGGGCAGCUGUGCCUCGCUGUCCCUGGAGGCCACCGCUGUGGCUGCGCCUCACACUACACCCUGGACCCCAGCAGCCGCAACUGUAGUCCACCCACCACCUUCUUGUUGUUCAGCCAGAAAUGUGCCAUCAGCCGGAUGAUCCCAGACGACCAGCAUAGUCCGGACCUCAUCCUGCCCCUGCAUGGGCUAAGGAACGUCAGGGCCAUUGACUAUGACCCCCUGGACAAGUUCAUCUAUUGGGUGGAUGGGCGCCAGAACAUCAAACGUGCCAAGGACGACGGGACCCAGCCCUUUAUCUUGACCUCUCCAAGCCAAGGCCAGAACCCAGACAGACAGCCCCACGAUCUCAGCAUUGACAUCUAUAGCCGGACACUGUUCUGGACGUGUGAGGCCACCAACACCAUCAACGUCCACCGCCUGACUGGGGACGCCAUGGGAGUGGUGCUUCGUGGGGAACGUGACAAGCCAAGGGCCAUCGUUGUCAAUGCAGAACGAGGGUACCUGUACUUCACCAACAUGCAGGACCGUGCAGCCAAGAUUGAGCGUGCAGCCCUGGACGGCACCGAGCGUGAGGUCCUCUUCACCACAGGCCUCAUCCGCCCCGUGGCCCUGGUGGUGGACAACGCACUGGGCAAGCUCUUCUGGGUGGACGCGGACCUGAAGCGCAUCGAGAGCUGCGAUCUGUCGGGGGCCAACCGCCUGACCCUGGAGGACGCUAACAUCGUGCAGCCCGUAGGCCUGACCGUGCUGGGCAGGCACCUCUACUGGACUGACCGCCAGCAGCAGAUGAUUGAGCGAGUGGAGAAGACCACUGGGGACAAGCGGACACGAGUCCAGGGCCGUGUUGCCCACCUCACUGGCAUCCACGGUGUGGAGGAAGUCAGCCUGGAGGAAUUCUCUGCCCACCCGUGUGCCCGCGACAACGGUGGUUGCUCCCACAUCUGUAUUGCCAAGGGUGACGGGACGCCACGGUGCUCGUGCCCAGUACACCUCGUGCUCCUGCAGAACCUGCUGACCUGUGGCGAGCCCCCCACCUGCUCCCCCGACCAGUUUGCGUGUGCCACGGGGGAGAUCGACUGCAUCCCCGGGGCCUGGCGCUGUGACGGCUUCCCCGAAUGUGACGACCAGAGUGACGAGGAGGGCUGCCCAGUGUGCUCAGCCGCGCAGUUCCCCUGCGCACGGGGCCAGUGUGUGGACCUGCGUCUGCGCUGCGACGGUGAGGCUGACUGCCAGGACCGCUCUGAUGAGGCCGACUGUGACGCUGUCUGCCUGCCCAGCCAGUUCCGCUGUGCCAGUGGCCAGUGUGUGCCCAUCAAGCAGCAGUGUGACUCCUUCCCCGACUGCAUCGACAGCUCCGACGAGCUCAUGUGCGAAAUCACCAAACCACCCUCAGACGACACCCCAGGCCACAGCAGCGCCAUCGGGCCAGUCAUCGGCAUCAUCCUCUCCCUCUUCAUCAUGGGCGGGGUCUAUUUUGUCUGCCAGCGCGUUGCGUGCCAGCGCUAUGCAGGGGCCAACGGGCCCUUCCCACAUGAGUAUGUCAGUGGGACCCCCCAUGUGCCCCUCAAUUUCAUAGCCCCAGGUGGCUCCCAGCAUGGUCCCUUCACAGGCAUCUCCUGUGGAAAGUCCAUGAUGAGCUCCGUGAGCCUGAUGGGGGGCCGGGGCGGGGUGCCCCUCUAUGACCGCAACCACGUCACAGGGGCCUCGUCCAGCAGCUCGUCUAGCACAAAGGCCACGCUGUAUCCACCGGGACAGGAUGCUGCUCUGUCACCCAGGCUGUACAGUGGUAUGACCACAGCUCACUGCAGCCUCAGAAUCCUGGGCUUGAGGGAUCCUCCUACCUUGGUCUCUCCCAAAGUGCUGGGAAUACAGGUGUAAGCCACAGCGCCUGGCCUAUAUUUCCUUUGUUAUGAACAAUGUUGAACAUCUUUUCGUAUGUGUUUAAGAUCCUUUGUCAUUUUAUUUUUCUUAGAGGAGUCUGUGUACAUCCAUUUCAUAUUGGAUUAUUGAUGCAUUUCCUACUAAUUGGUGAGAUCUCUUUAGUUACAGUAUACUAACUAAAUUGGCCAUUGCUGGGGGUAUGUUUUGAAAGUAUUUGUUUCGGGUGGUACCUGUGGCUCAGUGGGUAGGAUGCCAGCCCCAUAUACUGAGGGUGGCAGGUUCAAAUCUGGCCCCGGCCAAACUGCAACAACAACAAAAAAUAGCUGGGCGUUGUGGCAGGCGCCUGUAGUCCCAGCUACUCGGGAGGCUGAGGCAAGAGAAUCGCCUAAGCCCAGGAGUUGGAGGUUGCUGUGAGCUGUGUGAUGCCAUGGCACUCUACCAAGGGCGAUAAAGUAAGACUCUGUCUCUACAAAAAUAAAAAAGUAUAAAAAAAAAAAAAGUAUUUGUUUCCCAGUUUUGUUUUGUUUUUUUUUUUUCUUUUGAUUUGGGCUAUAGUGUGUUUUGCUGUUUAUACCAUGAAAUUGUCAAUUGUUUAUUUUAUAAUGCCCCAGGUUUUUUUGGUCAUGCUCAGAAAGGCAUUUCCUACUCUGAUCAUACAAAACAGUUUCUGCCAGGUGCUGUGGCUCUCACCUGUAAUCCUAGCUAGCACUUUGGGAGGCUGAGGUGGGUAGAUGGUUUGAGUUCAGGAGUUUGAGACCAGCCUGAACAAGAGUGAGACCCCGUCUCUACUAAAAACAGAAAAAAAUCUAACCAUGUGUUAUAGUGGAUGCCUGUAGUCCCAGUUACUCUGGAGGCUGAGGCAAGAGGAUUGCUUGAGCCCAAGAGUUUGGGUUGCUGUGAGCUGUGAAGCUACAGCACUCUACUGAGGGUAACAAAGGGAGACUGUGUCUCAAAAAAACAAAACAAAACAAAAAACCUCUUUCCGUGUUCUCUUUCUUUGUGUUUUCAUGUUUUAUGCUUUAUAUUUAAAUCCUGAUUUUUCUGGAAUGUGAUUGGAUGUGCAGGUAUCCACCUUGUUUCUUUAGUGAUGGCUACCAGAUAUCUUACAGAAGCCACAUGACAUUCCAGCGCAAACAGUUCAAUAUAUAGGCUUAUCACCAGGGCUUGGAAUAACAGGAAAGUGGCCAGUGAGAGGUAAAGAGAACUCUAAGGACACAGGAACAGCAAGUGGGCUGAGGUGGAGCUCUCAAGAAAGAGACCCUGCAGGGCUGAGAUUUGGUUCUUGGAGAGGGCAUACCUAUGGUUCACCAGAUGGCCCAGAAGCUGCUGAGUGGAACUUGCCAGAAAUCUGCGCACUGCAGUACUGGGAAAACCUUCUCUCCUCUUUACCUUCAUGUCCCCAGUGCCCUGGGGAGUCUGGGGGUAGCAGGCAUAGCUAGCGGAGGAGGGGAUUUAGGCAGAAUCUCAGUUUGCCUUAGAAGGUGGAAGUGAGGGUGGGGUGGCGCCUGCGGCUCAAAGGAGUAGUGCGCCAGUCCCAUGUACCGGAGGUGGCGGGUUCAAACCCGGCCCUGGCUAAAAAAAAACUGCAAACGAAAAAAAGAAGGUGGAAGUGAAAGAGAACCCAGGUCCAGUCAAGUUCAUGGGCAAAUGGGGAAACAGGACCCACAGGUCUGGGGCAUGGUCAGCUCCAGGAGGCCCUUUCUCUGUUCCCUGCCUACUUGAUUUUCUGAGCACACACCUGACCCCCCAGUGUCAUGCCCUCCCACCUUUGGGUUCAAAUCCUGGGAUACUGGGCUGGCUCUCUGGGCUGAGUGGACCCUCCCCAGGAUAAGGAUCAGGGCAGGACAGCCUGUGAAGCAGGUCAUCUUGACCCAGUGUUAGAAAUGAGGAAUCUGAGGCUCAGAAAGGUGAAGUCACCCCCCUGCUCCCCCCCAUAUGCUAUAGCUGGAUAAAAUAGGACUUGACCCAAAUCUGUCUGGCAUGACAGGCUGUGCCCUUUCUACCUCUCUAGGGACCUUCCAUUCACACAGUGAUGGUCCUGUCCUCCUCUCUCUGUAGGAGGGUGCAUCAGGCCGUGUCCUUCACAGGGACAGCUGCAGGGGACCCACGUAAACCCUCCACUCCUCGGGUUGGGUGCAGGGCUGAGUGAUGUCAGUGGCAGUUGCUGGGGAAGGUGUAGGCCUGUGUGAGCAUCCGGGCGCCAGAUCCUGCUGUCUCUCUGUGGGGCUGGCUGUGCACUGCAUGACUCUGGAGGGCAUGUUCACAUGGCAGAUUUGUUUACUACUGCGGUUUGGGGACAAGUGACUGUACAGUCCUUUGAGAAAGGGGCACCUUUUUCUGGCAGUGGGGCUGGGCCCCUCCCUCUGCAUGGUAACCCCCAUGGGUCAAGGCUGAGCAGGGACCCAGAGUCACCCCAGUGUUAGGAGUGUUAGGAAUAAGGAUAUCAUUACAGACAUUAGAGUGUCUGAUGGUGGCAGGAGAUGUGGAGGUGCAAGUCAGAUGGAGAGGUAGCAGGAAAGUCUCUGAGGAGCCUGGCCAGCUGCUCCCUGAUACAAUUGGACAUGCAGGGGGUGGGGGGCAGCGGCGGCACAUGAGGACAUGUCCCUCUGUGGCUGGUCAAGCUGGCUAUAGAGGGGACUGGCCAGGACCCCAGCCUACAGAAGGGGGUAUGAGUCCAGGACCUUGUCGAAGUUCUGCCUCUGUAUUCAUGGCCAAGUGUCUGAGCGUGAGCCUGGGAUCACCUCUAAGGAGGGUGAGAUCACAUGGCCGAAAGCACCUCUGUUCUCUGCCUCUCACCUUCAGGGAAGUGGGCUGCUGCCCCUCUUUCCCAAAUCUCACUUGGCUGUGCCCAGACCAGGCAGAGAAAGGGUUCCUGGGAAGCAUGGCUCCAGCUUGGCCAAGCUGGGCCAGUGCAGAACCCUCCCUAUGAGGACAACCCAGGAGGGCCGGCAGAAGGAAUCACAGCUGGGAAGGCCCCGAGUCACCCCUGUUUGGCUCU